UACGGGGGGAGCAAGCGUUGUUCGGAUUUACUGGGCGUAAAGGGCGCGUAGGCGGCCACCGCAAGUCGGUUGUGAAAUCUCUGGGCUUAACCCAGAAAGGUCAACCGAUACUGCGGGGCUAGAGUGCAGAAGGGGAAACUGGAAUUUACGGUGUAGCAGUGAAAUGCGUAGAGAUCGUAAGGAAGACCAGUGGCGAAGGCGGCAUCCUGGACCGGUAUUGACGCUGAGGCGCGAAAGCCAGGGGAGCAAACGGG
rnacentral:rRNA from 1 species